rnacentral:rRNA from 1 species
GAGUUCCGGCAUCUUUACCAUGCAGUCGAACGGCUGCCGGGUGCUUGCAGAGGUGGCGAGUGGCGAACGGAAGGAGUAUAUCGGAACGUGGCCGGGUGGGGGAUAACUAGUCCAAAGAUUAGCUAAUACCGGAAACAACCUGAGGGUGAAAGUGGGGGACCGCAAGGCCUCACGCUAUAGGAGCGGCCGAUAUCUGAUUAGCUAGUUGGUGGGGUAAAGGCCUACCAAGGCGACGAUCAGUAGCUGGGCUGAGAGGACGAUCAGCCUCCCUGGGACUGAGACACGGCCCAUACUCCUACGGGAGGCAGCAGUGGGGAAUUUUGGACAAUGGGGGCAACCCUGAUCCAGCAAUGCCGCGUGUGUGAAGAAGGCCUUCGGGUUGUAAAGCACUUUUGUCCGGAAAGAAAUCCUUUGGGUUAAUACCUCGGAGGGAUGACAGUACCGGAAGAAUAAGGACCGGCUAACUACGUGCCAGCAGCCGCGGUAAUACUUAGGGUCCGAGCGUUAAUCGGAAUUACUGGGCGUAAAACGUGCGCAGGCGGUUGUGUAAGACAGAUGUGAAAUCCCCGGGCUCAACCUGGGAAUUGCAUUUGUGACUGCACAGCUUGAGUGUGUCAGAGGGGGGUAGAAUUCCACGUGUAGCAAUGAAAUACGUAGAGAUGCGGAGGAAUACCGAUGGAAAAGGCAGCCCCCCCCUAUAACACUGACGCUCAUGCACGAAAGCGGGGGGGAGCAAACCAGAUAAAAACCCCCCCUGGAUAAUAAAA